AAGACCUUGCGCUUUUAGAGCGGCCGAUGUCUGAUUAGCUAGUUGGUGGGGUAAUGGCCUACCAAAGCUUCGAUCAGUAGCUGGUCUGAGAGGACGGCCAGCCACACUGGGACUGAGACACGGCCCAGACUCCUACGGGAGGCAGCAGUGGGGAAUUUUGGACAAUGGGCGCAAGCCUGAUCCAGCCAUGCCGCGUGAGUGAAGAAGGCCUUCGGGUUGUAAAGCUCUUUCAGCCGGGAAGAAAAGGUUGCGAUUAAUAAUCGCAAUUGAUGACGGUACCGGAAGAAGAAGCACCAGCUAACUACGUGCCAGCAGCCGCGGUAAUACGUAGGGUGCGAGCGUUAAUCGGAAUUACUGGGCGUAGAGGGUGCGCAGGCGGUUUUGUAAGUCAGAUGUGAAAUCCCCGGGCUUAACCUGGGAACU
rnacentral:rRNA from 1 species